UACGUAGGGUGCAAGCGUUGUCCGGAAUUAUUGGGCGUAAAGAGCUCGUAGGCGGUCUGUCGCGUCUGCUGUGAAAACUCGGGGCUUAACCCCGAGCCUGCAGUGGAUACGGGCAGACUAGAGGUAGGUAGGGGAGAAUGGAAUUCCCGGUGUAGCGGUGAAAUGCGCAGAUAUCGGGAGGAACACCGGUGGCGAAGGCGAGUCUCUGGACAACUCCUGACACUGAGGCACGAAAGCUAGGGGAGCAAACAGG
rnacentral:rRNA from 1 species